rnacentral:rRNA from 1 species
UUACUACAGAAAAUGACUGAGCGGCGAACGGGUGAGUAACGCGUGAGCAACCUACCUUAGUUACUGGGAUAGCCCGAGGAAACUCGGAUUAAUACCGGAUAUUCUUAUUUAAUCACAUGAUUUUUUAAGGAAAGGUCAGCCGAACUAAGAUGGGCUCGCGUUCUAUCAGCUAGUUGGUAGGGUAAUGGCCUACCAAGGCUACGACGGAUAGCUGGUCUGAGAGGACGAUCAGCCACACUGGGACUGAGACACGGCCCAGACUCCUACGGGAGGCUGCAGCAGGGAAUAUUGCGCAAUGAGCGAAAGCUUGACGCAGCGACACCGCGUGUGGGAUGACGGAUCUAGGUUUGUAAACCACUUUCAGGAGGGAAGAAAAUGACGGUACCUCCACAAGAAGCCCCGGCCAACUACGUGCCAGCAGCCGCGGUAAUACGUAGGGGGCGAGCGUUGUCCGGAUUUAUUGGGCGUAAAGAGCUCGUAGGCGGUUCAACAAGUCGGUCGUGAAAGUUCAGGGCUCAACCCUGAAAUGUCGAUCGAUACUGUUGUGACUAGGAUACGGUAGAGGUGAGUGGAAUUCCGAGUGUAGCGGUGAAAUGCGUAGAUAUUCGGAGGAACACCAAUUGCGAAGGCAGCUCACUGGGCCGCUAUCG